CUGCCUUGGAAACGCAGAGCGCGCGCUCCAGGUAAAGGCUGCUACGCCCAGGACAGGGUUCUCACGGUGGAGGAAAGGACUUCUGCGGGAUACCACGCUGUGCGCCAAAAAGCCGGGCGGCUUCGGAGCCAGAGCAGCGGCUCUGCGGCGCAGGCGGCGGGUCGGGGCAGCCUUGAAGCCGGGAUCCGGCCCGAAGGGGUCUUUUUGGAGUUCCUGAGCUCAGUGCCCCAGAAGGCACAUACUUCAUAUGAAAUAUGAAGGAUUUCAUACUGCACAAGAAAAAGCCUUGAGAAAGACAGAAUUGCUUGUGGACCGUGCGUGUUCCACCCCACCUGGGCCCCAGACCGUGCUGAUCCUUGAUGAGCUCUCGGAUUCCUUGUGCAGAGUGACCGACUUGUUUCGAAAUGACCAGGCUGGCAGUUGGCUGAGCCAGUCUCUUAGAACCCUUUGAAGCACUGGAUGCAGGCUGAUGAGCUGCCAUAAACGUCUUUGAGUCCCAACACUGCUCAGGAACUGCAUAUCAUACCAAAGUCUGCCUGUGUGAUCCUUUAAUUUGUGAAUGUAAAAACUGAGGUGGGAGGCAAAUACUGAUGUUCUCAAAGACCCGUCUCAGCUAUUCCAUUCAAACAGAGCCCAGAAUCUUCAAAAUUCUGCUUCUUCAGCUUACCUCCUGUCUCAGGCUGGUUCCCCAGAAGCAUCCCAGAGAUGCAGAUUUGUGAGAAAGUGAUGUGUUGGGCAGUGUCCCCUGCAGGGAAGUGAGGAUGCAAGACAGUGAGAAGGAAGCCAAGCAAGAGUGCAAUGUCAAGCAAGGUCCCGUGCUUGCAGGGCACUGGCUCCUCCCACAGAGGAGAUUUGGAGACUGAGAGCCCCUCCCUCCAUUGGUCAAGGGCCAUCUCAGAGGGAUGCAUGUUUCUAGGUAUCCCCCACUCUCUCUGCACACAGGUAAAGGAGACUCCAGAAGCAUGAGGGCAGCCCUCUCACAAAGAAGCAUGGGUUCUGGAUACCGAGAGUAAAAGCAAACGUGGAGCCAAGGGGUGUGAAAAUGGGAAAGGGACCCAAGGAAAUAGAGUAGUGCAUCCACCAUGAGUAAGUGCCACAGUCACUGGGUCAGCACCUGCUGUGUCCAACACCAUGCUAAGUAUCGUGGAGAGGAGAGAAGUUACUAGACUUCCCUGCUGUCAUCCUUAAUGGACUAUUGUCUCUUCCCUAGACACCUCAAACUGGGAUUUAAGGUACAUAAGCUCUCAGAAAUGGCUUCCUGGAAUUAUGGCCAUGAACAUCAGUGAACUGUUAGGGUCCGUAGUUACAUCUGGAAAAUGACUGCCGUUUCAAUACACAGGAUUAGUUACAAUAACAGCAACAGCCAUAAUAAUAAUGUGGCAGAGACUAGCUUGAUGCUCAUCACAUCUCUACCUGGGCACAUAGCAAAGUUUUCUAUUCCAGCUCCCACCCUGGAUCUCGGGUCCUAGUUCUCAACAACGAAAUGCUUCCAAGCCAAGUUAAAGCAGCCACAACUUUCAAACGAAAACCUAAAGAUCCUGUGUUGAAGACAGUGGCACCUUAAAAUGCAAGGGCAGUAUCCUUGAGUCCUCAGGUCACCAGAAAGCCACCCGAUCAGGACCAUCGACACUAGACUCUGUGUUAGUGAGAAACAAACUUGUGUUAAGCCAUCAUGAUUUUAAAGUUGUUAGCAGUCAGCUUGCUCCAAUAGGAUGAACACUAAUAAACAUAGCGGUAACAACCUGCUGGGUAGUAUCAUUAUUCUCACUUUGUUGGUGAGGAACUUGAGGCCCAAAAUGGUCAGAAAGUUAGCAGAUGGCAGAGCUGGUAUUUCAAGUCUAUUUUUUAAUCCCUAUCUUGCACUCCUUGGUCACGUAAACCUUGUGUGAAUAUGUUUGAUGCUUUAAUGGAGCAAAGAGGAGAAUAUUAAAAUACCAGGUUUCUUGGGUGGGAUGUGGAGUGAGGAGGAAGAACACAAAACGGAAAGGCUCCACGCAUCAGAAGCCAAGCUUUGGGCACUCCACAGUUUUGCUAAAGACUUCCCUGUCUGCUCACAUCUGGUCUGUUCCCCAGUAUCCUCACUGUAUUAAAGUUGUUUCUUUGU
rnacentral:lncRNA from 1 species